rnacentral:lncRNA from 1 species
UUGGUGACAGGAGGAGUAGGCAAGGGAAGUGCUGCAGGAACCCUAGCUUCCUCAGCCUUGAACGAAGCUUCCAUUGUUGCUGAAACAAUGGAACGCGAAAACUUCGAGAAGUUUCUCUUAUUGACGAAAUUGCUGUGAUGAAUUAAUAAAAAUGCAGAAUCUGAGCGAAAUUUGAAAGAGAGAGAGGAAUUGGUAAAUGGAAGAACGUUACGGUAGCAAGUCGAGAUUCCAGUGGCUUUCAUUUUCAGAGCACUGUUUUUGUGCUAGCACCUGAGUUUACUUGUACGAUUCGUGAAGAAGUCCAGUUCUAUUUUAUUAGCCCCUUUUCUUUGGGAAGAUGGCAAUAAGAUCCCUUAAAUUUUCAAAAAUGUUAUAAAAUAGAAGUCUAUUUAGAGUGAAUGUCUAAGAGUUUUAGCUUAAAGCUAAG